UUUUAGUGGCACCUAAAAAUUUUUGUAAAGUUUUCAAUUGAUAUGGAUGCUCUUAAUUGUUGGUUGAAAGAAUAAUUUUUGCCUCAAGCUAAGGUAGGAAGGUGGCGUUGAUGGGGUUAGAAGAUUGGAAUGUGUGGUGGCAGAACUCAGAAGCAGCGAUGAGGAUGAAUGGUGGCAGCCUGUAUUUGGUGAUCUAUGACUUCACAAUCAUUAUCAAUGUGACCCUUAACACAAUGCAAACAUAUGCCCUUGCCAGGGUCGACUCCUUCGCCAAGCAUAGAACAUCCAUUGAUCGAUUCGGCAGAGAAAACCCCACUUGUAACGACAAGUUCCUCUUCUGAAUCUCACCCGACUUCAUCUUAAGUGAAACCUCUGGUGUCACGUUCGAGUUCUACAUCGUUGCCUAUAUCAAGGAUAUUCUGGUUGGAUCUGUUUGUUUUAAGGAUAUUCUGCCUGCAUCAAGGAUAUUCUGGUUGCAUCAAGGAUACUCCGCCGGAACUCCAGCCUUUAUAGCCGCCCAAAUAGAAUGCCCUUCUGGAAGAUUCCACGGCGUCCUCAACAUGAGCUACCAAGUUCGAUCUUGCGAUGAUCGGAGUGUCCGCAACUUUUUUCCACGACUUGAUGUGGAAGAAAGAAAACCUCCUCUACUGUCAUCGACGCCUGAGCGACAUCAGAUCGAAGGAAAUCCAUAGAUCAUCCUAAGCGACAUUGUUGUCUGAUUCUUAAGGAUUUUCUCUUUCUAUAAGUAUGUGUUUCUGGUUUCCUAAAGAUUUAUUGAUUAUCGCCAUUUUGAGUAGAUUUUAGAAUCGUCAUUUUCGAUUCGGUUUAGCUUCGGUUAUGGUUACUGAUUUCAUUUUGAUGAUCAUGUAUUGAUUCAUAGCUCUAUGUUUAUGUAGUCUUUGGAUUUGUGUAGCUAGAGAUAGUGUUGCUUACCACAACCACAGGACGAUUGCUUUUGGAGAUGAUGUUAUCAUUGUGGUGUAAGUUUUUUUGUUAUGAUUGAGCUUUUGUCAAUCUUCUUCCUGAAAUUGAAAUUAAAUGGUUGGCUGUG